ensembl:lncRNA
GUGGGGGCCCUGAGCACCGCCCCAGAAGAGGUCGAGGGAAUGUUGUGGGCUGGGGCACACCGGCAGGGCAGAAACUGGAGGAAGCGAGACGUCGCCAGGGACCCAGGGACCUCUCCCUCCAGUUCCCCGGGCCCGCCCGGCCCUGCUCGCCACUCCCGCUAUAGCGCCCACUCUGUCCCGGGCCGUCCCGCGCCAGCAGUGAAGCCCCCAGCCCGGGCGCCUGAACGCUCUCCCUCCGGAUCACUGCUCGGGUCCCCACUUUGGCGACCGUGCCCCCGAGUCCCGCUUCCCCGGGGCCUGCUCUGGAUCAGGCGCCUGCGCCUUCAAGGGUACCCGGCCCGCCUGCCCUCCCCAAGGGCCAAGUUUGCGCUCCUCCCGGAAUCGUUUGAGAGAAGGACAAACUUUUGAGAGGAUGGAAAUCUAGAGGAGCCGGUCUGCAGUAGUCCUGGACCCCAUGAGAAAUGUAUGCCCUUCCAGACUCACAAUGGCAGGACACCUGAGGAAACAGCCCUCUCGAUUCCAUUUUAAGGCCUCUGAGCAAUGUUGCUCUCAGUGAAAUAUUGGACUUGGCAUAUCAUAAAACUUUAAAGAAGGAGCUACCUGUUUCUGCUACUGAAAGAUCACAUCAUUUCCCUUCACAUCCAGAGAAGAGAAGAGGACCCAUAAGGGGGCAUUCCCAGCUCCUUGAUGGUUUGCUAUGUGACUGUCCAAAAAUGUCUCUACAUCUCUGUUCUUCUGGCACCACGAGCUGAAGUUGGUUCCCAAAGAUGGUACCCAGGUCAAGGGAAGAAUAGGAGAGGGAAUUCUGGAACCAAAUUUCUGUCUAAGAAAGAAACAAUUAUCUAAGAAAUUGUGAAUGGAACUGGACUGAAAGCGGAUGAGUCAGGGCUCUUGAAAAAGAAAGUGGCCAUCCCUCUUUUGAGUCAGUUCUGCAAGAGUGGACAGAAACUUUUCCAGACUCCCAGGCCUCUCUGCUCCCUCAGAACUUGAAAAGAUUAAAGUCAUCCCUCCUCAAGGUCUUCACUGAAACCCUGGAAAUCUUUCCUUCAGUUUUAAGAGAUUCCAGUUCUUCCCAUUGUCCAGCCUCAGUCACUACUUGCUGUGUAGCAUAGGUGGCUUCCCUGGGGGAAAGUGUACCAGUCCCGCUCAUUGGUCCUCUAAGACCCCCCGGCAUUCCUCAAGACACUUCUGCCUCAUGAUGUCAGAAGAAGGGCUGUCAAACAGAUUUUAAAAACCCCAGGCUCGGCCAGGCGUGGUGGCUCACAUCUGUAAUCCCAGCACUUUGCAGGGCCGAGGCGGGUGGAUCACAAGGGCAAGAGAUCGAGACCAUCCUGGCUAACACGAUGAAACUCUGUCUCUAAUAAAAAUACAAAAAAUUAACCGGGCGUGGUGGCAGACGCCUGUAGUCCCAGCUGCUUGGGAGGCUGAGGCAGGAGAAUGGCGUGAACCUGGGAGGCGGAGCUUGCGGGGAGCAGAGAUAGUGCCACUGUACUCCAGCCUGGGCGACAGAGCGAGACUCCAUCUCAAAUAAAGAAAAAAAAAAAAAAAA